UAAAGGAAUUGGCGGGGGAGCACCACAAGGGGUGAAGCCUGCGGUUCAAUUGGAGUCAACGCCAGAAAUCUUACCCGGAGAGACAGCAGAAUGAAGGUCAAGCUGAAGACUUUACCAGACAAGCUGAGAGGUGGUGCAUGGCCGUCGCCAGCUCGUGCCGUGAGAUGUCCUGUUAAGUCAGGUAACGAGCGAGAUCCCUGCCGCUAGUUGCUAUCAUUAUUCUCAGGAAUAGUGGAGCGAAUUAGUGGGACUGCCGUUGUUAAAACGGAGGAAGGAAGGGGCUACGGCAGGUCAGUAUGCCCCGAAACUCUGGGGCCACACGCGGGCUGCAAUGGUAGUGACAAUGAGUUCCAAACUCGAAAGAGAGUGGCAAUCUCUAAACGCUACCACAGUUAUGACUGAGGGCUGUAACUCGCCCUCACGAAUAUGGAAUCCCUAGUAACCGCGUGUCAUUACCGCGCGGUGAAUACGUCCCUGCUCCUUGCACACACCGCCA
rnacentral:rRNA from 1 species